rnacentral:lncRNA from 1 species
CAAUGUGGAGGCUAUAUGCAGGGGGUACCGGUACAGAGUAAAUGUGGAGGCUAUAUACAGGGGGUACCGGUACAGAGUCAAUGUGGAGGCUAUAUACAGGGGGUACCGGUACAGAGUCAAUGUGGAGGCUAUAUACAGGGGGUACCGGUACAGAGUCAAUGUGGAGGCUAUAUACAGGGGUUACCGGUACAGAGUCAAUGUGGAGGCUAUAUACAGGGGGUACCGGUACAGAGUCAAUGUGGAGGCUAUAUACAGGGUAUUACGGUACAGAGUCAGUGUGGAGGCUAUAUACAGGGUAUUACGGUACAGAGUCAAUGUGGAGGCUAUAUACAGGGGGUACCGGUACAGAGUCAAUGUGGGGGCUGUAUACAGGGGGUACCGGUACAGAGUCAAUGUGGAGGCUAUAUACAGGAG